rnacentral:rRNA from 1 species
CCUGGCUCAGAUUGAACGCUGGCGGCAGGCUUAACACAUGCAAGCCGAACGGUAACAGGAGAGAGCUUGCUUUCUUGCUGACGAGGGGCGGACGGGUGAGUAACGCGUGGGCAUCUGGCUUAUGGAGGGGGAUAACGAGGGGAAACUGUCGCUAAUACCGCGUAGAGUCGAGAGACGAAAGUGCGGGACCGCAAGGCCGCAUGCCAUAGGAUGAGCCCAAGUGGGAUUAGGUAGUUGGUGGGGUAAUGGCCUACCAAGCCGACGAUCUCUAGCUGGUCUGAGAGGAUGACCAGCCACACCGGGACUGAGACACGGCCCAGACUCCUACGG